AAGGACAAGAGGGAAGGAACGAUGCUCCUAAAUAAGAAUAAGGAGCCUGGGACUAAGAAAGCGACGGUUUCGCUUGACGAUGCGGAAGAGGGACGCUUUGUCGUUAAUGAAGAGGGAAAACUUCCUGCAAAUGAUGAACAACGCAAAGCUGCUUCAGCUGAAAAAAGAUACGAUCUCGAAGAGGCGAGAAAAUGGAGAAUUAAUAAUCCUUCAAAUCCGAUCGAGUAUCAAUUAUCGAACGCGCACUUUGUGGAACUUGGCUGGACCCUGUUGCCGAUUACUAAAACCAUGAGAAAGAUCGUACAGUAUGAAGCCAGACCAGCAAAGCCCAGGUUAGAUUGGUUAAAAAAAUACAAGCAUAAAGGUACGGAAUAUUAUGAAGAUGGUCUAACACCAUUUUUGAAAUUCUAUCCCGAUGGUUCCGGCGAGUUAUUUUAUCCCAAUGGCAUAUUAGCUAUUAGGGUUUAUAAACCAAAAAAUCGGAAAUACGAUAUGUAUACUGUGUUCACGCCAGGAGGCAAAGAUGCAUUGGGGAUCGGAAGGGGAUCUCAGAUCUUGGCAAUAUUCGACACUAUGGGAUACGGUGUCGUUUUCGACGUGGACGGCGCGGCGAGGCUGUCCUAUAACCAGAUCGGAGGAAUUUUUACGGACAAUCCCGCGGGCCUGCCUCUCAUUUGGACUUGGAAUGCCAAGCCGAGAGAGUCGAUACUCGAGACUGUGUAUAUGGAGAGACCGACCGAUUUAUGUACACAACAUGUUCCAUUUGAUUGGCUCCUCAGUUCCGGAAAUGUUAAGACAUCGGCAUCAUCUUCUAGCUCAUCAUCUAGAAAUAAGGAAAAGAAGGUCGUCGAGGUACAGAAACCUGUUGUCGAAGAACGACAAGAAGAGAUCGGAAACAAACUGAAUGGCAACCAGGAUUUUCCUAAAGAGGAUAUCUGUCACAUAAAAAUGAUUUGCCUAAAAUUGAAUGAAUUUCUCAGCUUGCGAAUCAUCGAUCAAAAAAACAUCAGUUUGCGAUUUUCUGCUAGAAAUAAAAACAUCAAAAUAGAAUUGGGGACAAUUUUGAAUUUUAAUAAAGAAAAAGCAUCUUAUAUGAUAGAAGCAAGCGAUUGGAAAAGCGAUAUGCUAAGAUGUCGAUUCCAGGAGAAUUUGUCCAAAACCUUGGAAUCGGAUAGCAGUCUGUACGAUUUGGCUAAGGAAUAUCGAAAAGUGAAAAGAUUCGCGAAGCAACGUAAAGUUAUGAUUGCCAAAUACAAACCUUUCUCCAAGAUCAACCAUGCUUUUACUCGAUCGUGUAAAGCGAAGAACUAG